rnacentral:rRNA from 1 species
CGGAGGUCCCGAGCGUUGUUCGGAUUCACUGGGCGUAAAGGGUGCGUAGGUGGUGAGGUAAGUCGGAUGUGAAAGCUCCAAGCUCAACUUGGAAAUGGCAUUGGAAACUACCUUGCUAGAGGGUUUGAGGGGGGACUGGAAUACUUGGUGUAGCAGUGAAAUGCGUAGAUAUCAAGUGGAACACCAGUGGCGAAGGCGAGUCCCUGGAAAACUCCUGACACUGAGGCACGAAAGCUAGGGGAGCAAACAGGAUUAGAUACCCUGGUAGUCCUAGCCGUAAACGGUGCGUAUUUGCUGUAAAAGGAAUCGACCCCUUUUGUGGCGUAGCCAACGCGUUAAAUACGCCGCCUGGGAAGUACGGUCGCAAGAUUA